UACGAAGGGGGGCUAGCGUUGCUCGGAAUCACUGGGCGUAAAGGGUGCGUAGGCGGGUCCUUAAGUCAGAGGUGAAAUCCUGGAGCUCAACUCCAGAACUGCCUUUGAUACUGAAGAUCUUGAGUUCGGGAGAGGUGAGUGGAACUGCGAGUGUAGAGGUGAAAUUCGUAGAUAUUCGCAAGAACACCAGUGGCGAAGGCGGCUC
rnacentral:rRNA from 1 species